rnacentral:rRNA from 1 species
GACGAACGCUGGCGGCGUGCUUAACACAUGCAAGUCGAACGGUAAGGCCUUCGGGUACACGAGUGGCGAACGGGUGAGUAACACGUGGGUGAUCUGCCCUGCACUUUGGGAUAAGCCUGGGAAACUGGGUCUAAUACCGAAUAGGAUCAUGGCCUUCAUGGGUUGUGGUGGAAAGCGUUUGCGGUGUGGGAUGGGCCCGCGGCCUAUCAGCUUGUUGGUGGGGAAUGGCCUACCAAGGCGACGACGGGUAGCCGGCCUGAGAGGGUGUCCGGCCACACUGGGACUGAGAUACGGCCCAGACUCCUACGGGAGGCAGCAGUGGGGAAUAUUGCACAAUGGGCGCAAGCCUGAUGCAGCGACGCCGCGUGAGGGAUGACGGCCUUCGGGUUGUAAACCUCUUUCAGCAGGGACGAAGCGCAAGUGACGGUACCUGUAGAAGAAGGACCGGCCAACUACGUGCCAGCAGCCGCGGUAA